GGGGGUUAACUGAGAGGAGAGGAUCAGGUUAAUGGAGAGUUGAAGAGGUGAAGAAAGCAGCAGAGCAGUGAUUAUAUAAAACAGCAGUUACUGUGGAAACCUCCGGAAUGUGAAACUCGACUCAAGUGGAGAGACUCUGACCUACUUUCAUGGAGGAGUUUCAGAAGAAUCAUUACGCAACAACAACUCAACUCAUCCCACUUCUCUCCAUCCUCAUCAGCCUGAGGAGAGGAGACGAGGAGAGGAGAGAGGAGAAGAGACAAGGAGAGGAGAGAGGAGAAGAGACAAGGAUAGGAGAGGAAACAAGGAGAUGAGAGGAGACAAGGAGAGGAGAGAGGACACGAGAAGAGACAAGAGGAGAGGAAACAAGGAGAGGAGAGGAAACAAGGAGAGGAGAGGAAACAAGGAGAUGAGAGGAGACAAGGAGAGGAGAGAGGACACGAGAAGAGACAAGAGGAGAGGAAACAAGGAGAGGAGAGGAAACAAGGAGAUGAGAGGAAACAAGGAGAGGAGAGGAAACAAGGAGAGGAGAGGAGACAAGGAGAGGAGAGGAGACAAGGAGAGGAGAGAGGACACGAGAAGAGACAAGAAGAGAGGAAAUAACGAGAGGAGAGGAAAUGAGGAGAGAAGACGUACAUGGAGAGUAAAAAGGGAAAGGAGAGGAAACAAGGAGAAGCAUCGACCACCGAUUGAAAACUACAGUCUAAGGUGUGGUGUCAGGGUCUGUUCACCUUCAUGACGUCAACACUUCACACAGAUAAACGUCUUCACUGUCACUUCACACAGACCUCGACUCAUCCUGGGACAGGGUUUAUCUCUCUCUAGUUCCGGACUCAUGUCUAAGACCCUCACUAUGAUCCCGGACCCUCACAGCAGCACUGAACCGGCGCACAGCGACCGAGCGACCGGGUUUAAGAUCAUAAUCCCGCUGUACCGACCAGACGCCCAUGUCCUCACCUUGAUCCUCCGCCUGCAGCUCCUCCUGCUACGAGCCGCAGCGGGUCCACAGUCCGGUAGAGUCCGGUAGAGUCCGGUACAGUCCGGCAGAAACGGGUAGAGUCCGGUAGGAGCUGGAGCUUCUCUGGUUUAUUCGGGUUUUGUUGAUCCGGAUGAGGGCGGACUGGGUCCUGCCGCUGCCGCUUUUAUCUGAAGCAUCCCUCCCUCUCUCUCCUGUCCUCUGUCAGGUCCGCAGCAGCUGACUGGGGAUCAGCCAAUGGGAUUUAUAGACAACUGGGUGACGGACCAAUCAGAGCUCGGAUGCUGCACAGAGGUGAUGGAGGGAGGCGGGGGUCUGCUAACAUGACGUAAUGCUCCAGAUUCUCCUAAUGACUGUGCCUGAGUCUCUCCUCUUCUCUUUCUACUUCACUUCUUCUUCUUCUCUGGUGUCGCUUCCUGUUUCUCAGCUCAGUGACACAUCAUAAGAAGAAGAACUCAGACCUCAGAUCAGCAGAGACUGUUAAAGUUCAGUUCAACAUUUUACUCAAAGCACAAAAACAUGGAAGAACAUCAAAAUAUACUGAAAGAAUCAAACAGAACAAAUGAAGCAGAGUAAAUGAAACUGAACCAUCAUCACUGAAGGAAGCUGGAGAUGAUUUAAUGAGGCUACUUCACUGCAUUAAUCUACAUUCAUCUAUAUAUAUAAAAAAAGAAGAGAAUUAUUGAUUAUGUUCUAUUUUUAUCUGAAUCUGAAAAGUAAAGUUAUCAGAUAAAUGUGGAAAAUAUUGAACUGUGCUGUUGUUAAGUUCCUUCAGUAUAAUACUUAUUCUUUUAGUAUAAUACUUAUAAUACUAAAUAUAUUCACUCUCCACAGGUGUGCUAAAAACAACUGUAAAAACAUCUGUUAGAAAAUAGAAUUACUUUAAUACCAUUAUUAUAACUGUAUAAACUUGUUUUUGUUGCUGAUGUUGAAGAAACUCUGACUGAGUCAUGAGUUACUUGAAUGAAAUCUCAUCCACACACACACACACACACACACACACACACACACACACACACACACACACACACACACACACACACACGUGAACUGAGUGAAGCUGAAACUGUGUUUUCAGAUGUGACUGUUUCAGCUGAUGUAAAUUUAUCAUUUUUUGGUUCAGUCAAACUUAGACUGAAUAAAAACGGUUCACAUCUCAUCCUGUUAAUCAACAUCAAUCUGCCAGUUAUUUUCUUGAUAAUUUGGUCCAGUGGUGAUGUCACAUGUCUUUUCUCUUACUUAAAGUUACUGCUGGGACAAACAUCAAAUCAGUGUGUGUAUGUGUGUGUGUGUGUGUGUGUGUGUGUGUGUGUGUGUGUAUCAUGUGUCAGAUAGAACCACUCUGUCAACAACAGAAGAGAGAUCAUCAUCAUCAUCUUCAUCAGUGAUGUCACAGUGAUACAGUAAAUCUUCAGUCUGAGUCAGAGUUACUGUUAAAGUGAUGAAGACGAGGAUGACCACACAGAAGGAUGAUGAUGAUCAAUAAGAUACUACAGUUAUAAUGAUGCUGAGAAAGAUGAACAAAGAAUGUGGAUGAUGAACAGGUUCAGAGCAGUUUUGCUGACAGAGACCUCUUCAUCAUCAAUACACGUCGAUCAGUGUCCUGACUCACUAAACCUGAACACCAGCUGAUAAUCUUCAUCACCUCCUCUUCCUCAUCUGGAUCUCAAUAUCUGGACACUAGAUGAGUUUCCAUUGUAGGAGAAUAAUAAGGCCCAAAGAUGUAUAACCUGAUAUCACCCGGACGCCAACGGAGUACAAGAGUCAGUGUAGGAGAUUAAAAAACAUAACAAUAACAAAAGAUAUGGUUGGCGGCCAACAGAGUGGGACAAGACACUUUGACUGUUUGGGAAAACAUCUGGAAAAUAGGAGAUUGGGAAACUAGGAAUAAACAUAAGGUCAAGGCGCAUUGCUGGUAACGAGCACAGUGACCUGGUUCUGCACCAGGAAAACAUAGUUGGUUAAUAAGUUAGGCAAGAGUGGUACAACGAAGCCAAAAUGAUUGGAAAACAGGAUGCACAUACACACACACAGCCAUCUGAGAUAUAAAAGAACAUGUCUCGUUCUGUGUUGGGUUGUUGUCGUCUCCGUCUAUGACUGCGAGUAGGGCCGCUGUGAAUAAAGAGACUCCGCGCUCUGA